UUAUUAUGCGCAUAACAUACUAUAUCAAUCAUAUUCCGCUUCAAUUACAUAAUUCAAUCCCUACGACCGUCUCUGCAUCUCAAUUCUGCUUCUUAAUUUCGAAUCUUGAAUCAGCAACUUCAAUCCUUCGCAAUCAAGAAUCAUUCUUCAAUCGGCUACUUCAAUCGUUCUAUAGCAACUACUAACAUGGACUCCUUCAAGACUAAUAAGAAGAUAAAAUUAAAUAAUUUCUAUCUGGAUAAUACAAAACAAUUGCAUUCGUACACUACAUCAGUCAGUCAAAUUCCAACUUCUACAAAUGUUACUAACCCUGGUG